rnacentral:rRNA from 1 species
UACGUAGGGUGCAAGCGUUGUCCGGAAUUAUUGGGCGUAAAGAGCUCGUAGGCGGUCUGUCGCGUCUGCUGUGAAAACUCAGGGCUUAACCCUGAGCUUGCAGUGGGUACGGGCAGACUAGAGUGCGGUAGGGGAGACUGGAAUUCCUGGUGUAGCGGUGAAAUGCGCAGAUAGUCAGGAGGGAACACCGGUGGCGAAGGCGGGUCUCUGGGCCGUAACUGACGC